CGACCUUGAUAAAGGCAGGCUUCUGCGCCCCCUGGUGGUCAUACAUGGAAAAGUUUUUCCAGACACCUCAAGGAAACAUCUUUCCUGGUUGAAAAGUUCCAACUUUUGUUCGUGUAUUGCUUUACAAAACAAAAAUCUCCCUCCCUGCUGCUAUUUCUUGCUCCUUGCCUUUGUCCAAACCUUUAAGAAAUGUAAUCUGUGCUUUCCAUGAAGGGAGAGCUGCUAUGGCGUUGUAGAAGGAUUGCUGACACAGAGCCAGGAGGCCUGGGUUCUCGGCAGACUUUCUGCCACACAACAGCGGUCCCUUCACAUCACACAACCUGCAUUCUCCUUUGUGACAUAGGGGCUGGUCAAAACUAGUGGUUCCCAACCUUUUCAAGAUUAAGAAUGUCCUAUUGUCUUUGUUUUCAUUCAUGCAUCUCUUAUUUCAGAAGAUUCCAUAACCUUAUCAAAAUAUAUUUAUGGGAUAAUCAGAAAUUUGGAUUCCUCGAACUCAGAGGCAUAGACCAGAUCGGUGGUUGCCAGAGGUGGGGCUGCAAAAUGGAAGGAGGAGGUCAAAAGGCAGAAGUAUGGAUUCCACCUGCUAGCUGUGUACAAGGAACUGGAAAAGUCAAGUUCAGUGGGAUAUGGGACCUGGGCCAGGGGAGCCUGGGGGCUUCUGGGGGCUGGUGAAAAAGACUCUGAUAUUGAGCCCAAGUGGACUCUAGGGUCUCCAGGUAGGUGGACAGGGACUCAAGGUUCCAGACUCGCUAGGAGCCCUUUCUCUCUCAAGUAUUUUUAUUUUUCUGCCCCACAGAGGAACUUGGUUUCCCACCCACUCUGUCUGGGUGUGGCUGUUUCCCCAUUAAACAAACCUCGUCCAGGUCAAGUGUGCAUUUUGGCUCUGUAUAAUUCAGCCAACACUUAAUUUCACUUUCACAAACAAACCAAAGAGAGGAUCCUGGCAUCUGGGAGCUCCACUUCCUUCUCUCUCCUCCCUCUGAGUCUACUUUUCCCAUUGGAGAAAUGGACUGAGCCCUACCCCAUCUGGACCUCAAGAGGCUGCUGCAGAACCAGUGAGACCACUUUCUGGCUGCUGCACCUUGAGGUAUGGUGGUGAGUAGAGAUAAGGGGAACAAGAGAAUUUAAGGGGAAGGUCCUUUCUGUUCCCCAGCUCUUCCCCACCACUGGGAAGGAUGGAGAAUAAACUUACUGACCCAUGGUUUUCAACUCCUUUAGCAUUUGUAUUGCUACAUACUGCUGCAUAACAAAUUGCCCUUGAACCCACCAGCUGGAAGCAACAAACCUUUAUCAUCCUCUGGCUUCUGUGAUUUGGGAAUCCCCGUGCAGCUGAGCUUUGUGGCUCUGUGGCACAAUCUCACAGACCUCAGAGAGCAGUGUCGCCUGGGGCAACAGUCUCAUCUCUUGGCUUGACUUGGGGGGGUCUCUUCCAAGGUCGCUCUGCAUGGCCAGGAUUUGGUUCCUCAAGAACUACUGGCUAGAGGCUUCCUUCCGUCUCCUGGCCAUGUAGACCUCUGCCUAGAGCAGCUCACAACAUGGCAGCUGGUUUCCAUCAGAGCAGGAAGAUGAACAAAAAAGGGUAAAGGAAGCCAAGGUGUAUUUGUAACCUAAUGCCAGCUGUGACAUCACAUUUGCUGUAUUCUGUUCACUAGCAGCGACUCUGCGGGCUGCAGACCACACUCGAGGUGAAGAGGAUUACAGAGGAGAAUGAAAGCCAGGAGCCAUCUCUCAGCUACCCAGUACAGAGGUCAAAUCCCAAAUUAAUGCCAGAGUUACACUCUUCACCUUCCUACAGCUUGCUUCUCCCCCAUACACCUCCUGGACAACCCUGAUACAUUCUCCAGGCCUCAGAGUAAAGGUUGCACCCUCCAGGAUUAACUUAAGUGUCCCCCAGACAUGCCCAUGUGACGGCCUGGACUUUAUCAUAGCCCAUACCUCACUGCCAGUUACGUGGUCUGCCGUACAGGCCACUGGUCUGCCUCACACUCCUUCUGUAAACUCUGUGAGGACAGCAGCUUCAUCUCUCCUCUUCACCGACGUGGACCCAGACCCAGCCGUAGGGCCAGAAAUAUACUAGGCACUCCGUUAACGUUGACCACAUUUAAUAAGUGAGUCUUCCCAUGAUACGCUCCAUACGUCUCUCUUCGGAUUGGAACUCCUCAGUGGCUUCUCGUUACAAAGAAGAGGGAGUCCAUACUCUUAGAGUGGCAUUCAGGCCAGGCCCUCGCCCCCUCUGGCCCGGCCCCGAGCACUGUCACCCCCAUGACACACACAACCCCAUCGUCCGCCUCACCUAACGCCCACCUCUUCUCUGAGCCAGAUGUGCCCAGGAUUUCCCACCUCCCUCUGCCCUUUUUCCACUUCACAUCUGUCAGAUCCCUGCUCCUCCUUUAAGACCUAAACCCUCCGGACAUUAGGGGAGGGAAAUCAGAGGGGGAGAGGAAGAACCAUGAGAGACUAUGGAAUCUGGGGAACAAUCUGAGGGUUUCAGAGGGGAGAGCGUUAGGGGAGGGGGUAGCCGGGUGAUGGAUAUUAAGGAGGGCACGUGCUGUAUUGAGUACUGAAUGUUAUAUACAAAUAAUGAAUCAUUGAACACUACAUUAAAAAAAAAAAAAAAAAAAGGCCUGGAACCCUUCUGUUCGCUCAGGCAGCCCCUUGGCCCCCAUGGCCUGCCUGCUCCCAGAAGAACUUGUUCAGACCUCUUUUGAAAGCCCACCCUGUGUUGUCUUGUAUCUAGCUGCUUUCCACUCUGUCUCCCUGGCUAGACCAUAAACUGCUUAAGAGCAACAAACCAGUAUUAUUCACCUCCUAGUGCUACUACGAAGUGGAAUGCAAAUAUUUGGAGAAUAAACCAAAGAAUGGUUGGCUACUAACACACACACACACACACACACACACACACUCUCUCUCUCUCUCUCUCUCUCUCUCAUGCAUUCCCUUCGGAUCCUCUCUUCUCCCUGAGGAAGAAAAAUAAUCCUUACUUAAAACUGAAUGCAAUUGCAAUGCCACAUGUUUUGGAGAAUUGAGUUUAAAAUAUUUGCAAACGUGUCUCUUUUUUUUAUUUUUUUCAAGUAGGAGCCCAACAUGGGGCUUGAGUUCAUGACCUUAGAAAUAAAUGCAUAUAUCUCUGGUCAACUGAUUUUUUUUUUUUCCAGUGGACCAAAGGGACUGCAUGGAGCCCAUUGCAGGACUUGAACUCACAACCCUUAGAUCAAGACCUGAGCUGAGAUCGAGUUGGAUGCUUAACUGACUAAAACAUCCAGGUGCCCCUUACAAAGAAAAAGGUCUUAUAUUGUGUUGUUCAGAUGUUUUCCUAGCACAAAACUCCACAGGCCAUAUACCUGUGCCUUCAACUUGACACUGUAAAUAAUUUGAACCUUAUGCAUUUCUCACUUUGUUUAUAUAAACUCCUCAAUCCCUAGAGCCUAAAAGCAUGAGGUGCUCCCCUGAAGAACCUAGAAAAGAAGCCUCACCCAGAAGAGCUUAUGGUUACUUUGAGUUGCAGAAGACAACUUCUUCUUGCUUCUUGCAACGUCUUCAAAACACCUAUCAAGAAGAACAGAUAAACACAGUGGAGCAAAGGGGAAAGGCAAGUGAACCACUAUGGCUUUAAAAUGUUUAUAACCAGGGGUGCCUGGGUGGCUCAGUGGAUUAAGCCGCUGCCUUCGGCUCAGGUCAUGAUCUCAGGGUCCUGGGAUCGAGUCCCACAUCGGGCUCUCUGCUCGGCAGGGAGCCUGCUUCCCUUCCUCUCUCUCUCUGCCUGCCUCUCUGUCUACUUGUGAUCUCUGUCAAAUAAAUAAAUAAAAAUCUUUAAAAAAAUGUUUAUAACCAAAAAAAUAAGUCAUGUCAUAUAUUUCUCCAUUUGGAUGUUGUGUUUUUAAGCCCAGUGUGGGGCUUGAACUCACAACCCUGGGAUCAAGAACUGUGUGCUCUACCAGCUGUGCCAAUGCAGGCACCCCUCCAUUUGGAUAUUAAACCAACCAUGCUGAAUCUUUUAUUGUAUUUUUACAGUUUUUCCCUGUCCCCCAAAGAUGUCACAAUAAUUUGGAGGAAUAGAGUAGAUACUACUUCCCUCAUUUAUUAUGAAAUUAAGUAUAGAAAAAUGAAGGGAUUUCCCAAGCUUCCAUAGUACAGGGAGAGCUUGCUGAGAGAGGUUGUAGUUUUGUUCCCUGGGCUUUGAAACCACACACCAUCUACACCAAAAUCCCACAUUCUGCCUGUCCUGGCUGUGCGACCUUGAACACGCUACUGAAACUCCCUGUGUCACAGUUUCCUUAUCUGUAAGCAGAGAAAACAACAGGGUCUGUCUCCUGGGUUUUUGUGAUGAUAAAUGGGCAAUCAUUAAUUCCCUUGUGCAAUCCUUGAGAAGAAGCCUGCAAACCCAUGAUAACUACACUUGUUUUUCUCAAGGAGCACCAGGAAUUGAAAAGUACCUGGACUAUUUCAGUCACUAGUGAAAGAAACCCCCCUCUGAGUAGUCGAUCAACCUCAGCAGGUUCAACAGGGUAAGGAAUAGAAGAGUUUGGUGGGGACAGAGUUCAGAAAACUAAGAGAAAUGCACCACACAUCCUAGAGUCUGACUGCAUAUUUGCACAUUACAGGCACUGAGUGAACCUGUAGGAGACCACUGGUGGGGGUUUGAUCAACACAGUGCUCCUCACACCUGUUUGACCACAGAAAGUUUAUUUCUCCCAAAUAGAAAUUAUUCAACAGGACUCAUGUCCUGCAGAAAACACCGACCUAGUGAAAUACUGCACUAGAACACGGGAGAGGCCCAAAGUGUCCGUAAGUGAGCCAAAGAAGAUCCUUUCCAGUUCUUGUCUUUUUGUUUUUUUCUUUUCUUUCUUUCUUUCUUUCUUUUUUUUUUUUUUUUUUUUUUUUUGGUUUUAUUUAUUCAUUUGAUGGAGAGAGAGAGAGCACAAACAGGAACAGGGGGAGCAGCAGGCAUAGGGAGAAGAUGAUUCCCCACUGAGCAGGGAGCCCGAUGUGGGACUAGAUCCCAGGACUCCAGGAUCAAGACCCCAGCUGAAGGCAGAUGCUUAACUGACUGAGCUACCCAAGUGCCCCCCGCUUCUUGUCUUUCAAAGAAAGAUGGGAACAUUUUAGUUCCAUGUAACACGAAUCCUGGCCAUGGUUUCUGCCUUCUAAGCCUAUGAUACAUUUUCAGAACAAAACAAAAGAAAAAAAUGUAGCAAACAUUUUUCAGAUAGGAAACAGAGGUACAAAGAGCUCAUUCUUCUGCCUCUACAAUCCCCCCUUCAGGAAUGCCCUUCCUGGGUGCCUGGGUGGCUCAGUCCAUUAAGGGUCAUGAGAUUGAGCCCCGAGUCAGGCUCAGCUGAGUCUGCUUGUCCCUGCCCCCCAACCCUCCCCCCCGGCCUCCACACCCCCCACACAUGCACUCUCUCGCGCUCUCUCUCUCUCUCUCAGAUAAAUAAAUAAAAUCUUUUUAAAAGGAAGAAAUGCCCAUCCUGCUCCUGUUUGCACACAGAGAGACCUGGACACCUGCAUGGUCAGCUCCAAUGCCUCCUCCCCAGAUACACUUGCCUUGAUUCCUUUCUCUGUCCCUCGUCAGAAGCUAACUGCAUUCUAUCACUUGCUGUUGGGCUAUCAUGGCCCGUGUUCUUCAACACUACCAGACUUCCCUUCCUACAAGGCAGGAACUGCCUCUUACCUCUCUACAUCUUGCCCAACCUACCACAGGUGGGUACAUAGUACAUAGCAGAGUUCAAUAAACAGUUGUUUACUGUCUUCUUAAA